AUACGUAGGGAGCGAGCGUUGUCCGGAAUUACUGGGUGUAAAGGGAGUGUAGGCGGGACGGUAAGUCAGGUGUGAAAUUUAUGGGCUCAACUCAUAAACUGCACUUGAAACUGCUGUUCUUGAGUGAAGUAGAGGUUGGCGGAAUUCCUAGUGUAGCGGUGAAAUGCGUAGAUAUUAGGAGGAACAUCAGUGGCGAAGGCGGCCAACUGGGCUUUUACUGACGCUGAGGCUCGAAAGCGUGGGGAGC
rnacentral:rRNA from 1 species